GACGAACGCUGGCGGCGUGCCUAAUACAUGCAAGUCGAGCGCAGGAAACUGACGGAACUCUUCGGAGGGAAGGCAGUGGAAUGAGCGGCGGACGGGUGAGUAACACGUAAGGAACCUGCCUCAAGGAUUGGGAUAACUCCGAGAAAUCGGAGCUAAUACCGGAUAGUUCAACGGACCGCAUGGUCCGCUGAUGAAAGGCGCUCCGGCGUCACCUUGAGAUGGCCUUGCGGUGCAUUAGCUAGUUGGUGGGGUAACGGCCCACCAAGGCGACGAUGCAUAGCCGACCUGAGAGGGUGAUCGGCCACACUGGGACUGAGACACGGCCCAGACUCCUACGGGAGGCAGCAGUAGGGGAUCUUCCACAAUGGACGAAAGUCUGAUGGAGCAACGCCGCGUGAGUGAUGAAGGUUUUCGGAUCGUAAAACUCUGUUGUAAGGGAAGAACACGUACGAGAGGAAAUGCUCGUACCUUGACGGUACCUUACGAGAAAGCCACGGCUAACUACGUGCCAGCAGCCGCCGUAA
rnacentral:rRNA from 1 species